AGAGUUUGAUCCUGGCUCAGAACGAACGCUGGCGGCGUACUUAACACAUGCAAGUCGAACGCGAAAGUACUCUUCGGAGUGCGAGUAGAGUGGCGCACGGGUGAGUAACGCGUAGAUAAUCUACCUCUAUAUUUGGGAUAACAUUGGGAAACUGGUGCUAAUACCGGAUACACUCUUAAAUAUGCGAGUAUUAAAGAGGAAAGGUGACCUCUCCUUGGAAGUUGCUGUAUAGAGAUGAGUCUGCGUACCAUUAGCUAGUUGGUGGGGUAAAGGCCUACCAAGGCGACGAUGGUUAGCGGGUCUGAGAGGAUGAUCCGCCACACUGGAACUGGAACACGGACCAGACUCCUACGGGAGGCAGCAGUGAGGAAUAUUGCGCAAUGGGGGCAACCCUGACGCAGUGACGCCGCGUGAGUGAAGAAGGUCUUCGGGUCGUAAAGCUCUGUCAGUAGGGAAGAAGUGCUAAUAGGUUAAUACCCUAUUGGUUUGACGGUACCUACAAAGGAAGCACCGGCUAAAUCCGUGCCAGCAGCCGCGGUAAUACGGAUGGUGCGAGCGUUGUUCGGAAUUACUGGGCGUAAAGGGCGCGUAGGCGGCACUUUAAGUCGGAUGUGAAAGUCCAGGGCUCAACCCUGGAAGUGCAUUCGAAACUGGAGAGCUUGAGUAUUGGAGAGGAAAGUGGAAUUCCCGGUGUAGAGGUGAAAUUCGUAGAUAUCAGGAGGAACACCAGUGGCGAAGGCGACUUCCUGGACCAAUACUGACGCUGAGGCGCGAAGGCGUGGGGAGCAAACAGGAUUAGAUACCCUGGUAGUCCACGCAGUAAACGGUGAACACUAGGUGUAGCGGGUAUUGACCCCUGCUGUGCCGCAGCUAACGCAUUAAGUGUUCCGCCUGGGGAGUACGAUCGCAAGAUUAAAACUCAAAGGAAUUGACGG
rnacentral:rRNA from 1 species